GCGGACGGGUGAGUAACACGUGGAUAACCUACCUAUAAGACUGGGAUAACUUCGGGAAACCGGAGCUAAUACCGGAUAAUAUAUUGAACCGCAUGGUUCAAUAGUGAAAGACGGUUUUGCUGUCACUUAUAGAUGGAUCCGCGCCGCAUUAGCUAGUUGGUAGGUAACGGCUUACCAAGGCAACGAUGCGUAGCCGACCUGAGAGGGUGACCGGCCACAUUGGGACUGAGAUACGGCCCAG
rnacentral:rRNA from 1 species